rnacentral:misc_RNA from 1 species
GAUGAAGAACGUAGCGAAAUGCGAUAAGUAAUGUGAAUUGCAGAAUUCAGUGAAUCAUCGAAUCUUUGAACGCACCUUGCACCCUUUGGCAUUCUGAAGGGUAUGCUCGUUUGAGUGUCAUUGUACUCUCACACUCCCGAUCUUUGCAUUGGGAGCAGUGGACUUGGGUUUGCUGCUUCACCGUCGCUUACCUCAAAUAGGUUAGUGCAACUCUUGGUUGGACAUAGUACGGCGUGAUAAGUGUUCUUCGCCGGUGCCUCGCAAAGAGGGUGGCCGAUCGGGAUGUUGUGCUCCAAACCGUCUUCGGACAAUCUCUGACGACUUGACCUCAAAUCGAUUAAGACUACCCGCUGAACUUAAGCAUAUCAAUAAGCGGAGGA